GAUGAACGCUAGCUACAGGCUUAACACAUGCAAGUCGAGGGACCGGCGCAGGGGUGUGUAACACGUAUCCAACCUGCCCUUUACUCGGUGAUAGCCUUUAGCAAGAGAGAUUACUCCCCGAUGGAAAGGAUCGGGAUGCGUUCCAUUAGGUUGUUGGUGAGGUAACGGCUAACCAAGCCUUCGAUGGAUAGGGGUUAUGAGAGGAAGGUCCACUAGAAUGGAUAUGAGACACGGUCUCAACUCUGACGGGAGGCAGCAGAGAGGAAUAUUGGUGAAUGGGCGUUAGCCUGAACCAGCCAAGUAGCGUGAAGAAUGAAUGCGUUUGGGUCGUAAUUCUCUUUUAUAUAAGAAUAUGUAUUAUAUGAAUAAGGAUCGGCUAACUCCGUGCCAGCAGCCGCGGUAAUUC
rnacentral:rRNA from 1 species